CGGAGGAGGAGGGGGGUGGGGGGUGGCAGGGAGGAAAGGCAUAAUCUGGUUUCAUUUACACCUAUUUACACGGACACCUUGAGCCAAUGGAAAAUAUUUCCAUUUUAAGACAGGAAAAGGGGUGAAAAGCUUCGGUAACCGGAAUUGAACCUCGAUGCUGCUCAGAGUGUGAAGCUUGCUGGAUUUCUAUAAGAGCAUCUACAGGGAACGCGUCUUUAAUCAACCUAUAAACAGACAAGUGAUCGCUAGAGACGGUGGGAUCGCGCUCCUCCGCAGCUGCCCGCAACAUUACUCGGCGACUUCGUACCUGGAAGAAGACCCCUGGGCAAUUACGACAUAUGCUCGGAUUAUGCGUAAUGGUCUAAUUACGCAGACCGAAUUAGGCAUUCAUUAUACGACGCAUCAUCUGCAACAGACAUCUCAAUCAAACACAGAGAACCAGUAUUUCCCUCUGCCCUAAGAACUCCACCCACUUAAACAGACCAGUAAUUUUUUUUAUUUAUUCAUCUAUUUAUUUAAGGACAGCCUUAAAUGCGUGUGUGUGUGUGUUUGGGGGGCGUCGCCUUUUCACCAGCUGGUAAUUUUAUGUCUUGAAUUUUAGUUUUUUUGGUGUUGGCCUAAUGAACAAACAUUUUGUGUUAUUAAAAGCAAACCAGAUCAUGUCAGACAAUACAAAUAAAGCAAUCUAAAAGCAGGUUUAUGUAUUGGGAGAAUUUGUCCACAGGCAAGUAGAUGGGUGUGUGUGUGUGUGUGUGUGUGUGUGUGUGUGUGUGUGUGUGUGUGUGUGUGAGUGUGUGUGUGUGUGUGUGUGUGUGUGAGAGAGAGAGCGAGAGAGGGCUGCACCAGUCCAUUGACUCCACAUGGUGAGACGCAGCAGGACUGAUGAGGGCUGUACCUGAGCUCAGUGUUUGCGCCGCCGACUGUAACCACAACAGAGGCCCUUGACCCCGCAGCAUAAUUCACACCGACGAGACAGCGUCGUUCACACUCUCGCUCCAUCAUUUAGCCCUCCCGUGACAGGUGACGACAAAUCAUCCCAUUAAACUCCACACUAGACUCGGUCAUUUGAGUGUGAAGAGGAAAGUUAUGAGGGAAAAAAAAGGGUGAACGCGGUAUGAAAAUAAGAAGAAUAAUCAGAAUCUCAGAGCUUUCAUGUGUAUUCAC
rnacentral:lncRNA from 1 species